UCCGGGCAUGGUAGUGCAUGCCUGUAAUCCCAGCUGCUUGGGGGGCUGAAGCAGGAGGAUUGCAAGUUCAAAGUCAGCCUCAAAAUUUAGUGAGGUCCUAAACAACUCAGUGAGAUCCUGUCUCUA
rnacentral:sRNA from 1 species